ACACGUUGUGGAGUUACUUCUUUGCUUUCAUAAACAUGUCUCGGUUUAUUUCUCAUGCAUGUCAUGGUGCAGUCCCUUUAUGAGCAGUGCAGAAUAACAGCAUAAGCCUCACUCCCCAUCUCAGAAAAUUCUGCUUCCAUUCGUUCAGAGCUCUACGUUUCCCCACCAUACGGGAAUUCCCAAGUGUGAAACAAACCUGGAGCCGCCCUGGUGCCCCCUGCACGUUCCCACUGAGGCCUGUGAUGAUGCUGCAGAUGGCAGAGCACAGCCAGGAGUGCCAGCCCAGGCUGUGGCUGGGGCAGAGCAAUCUCUGCACAGCACGAGCCGGGCCAGGAGAGGGGCACAGCACCACAGACAUCCACGGUGGCCACCUCACAGGUUUGUGUGGCCAGCAGCUGUCGGGGGCAGGAGGGGAGGCUGGGCCGAGGUGAACGCGGUGACGCUGCAACAGAGCAUACGAGGAGUGUGCUUUGUGUAGUAUUUAUUUAGGAACCGUGAGUAACUACAGCCGUAGCGGUCUCAUCUUUGCAAUUCUGAUGGUUUAACAAACAGGGAGAAUAUUAGCAUAUUUUUAUUAAGGUACAAAAUACACCCCGUUGUUGCCUAAAACAUAAAAAAAAAAAAAGUGAGGAAAGCUCUGUAUGCUCUAAAUCAGAUUCAAACCCUUUCUGUAUAAGGAGUUGUGGCAAUACUGUGUUUAGUAUAACAAGAGGUUUUCAUCAAUCGAAAAGACAUGCUGGCAAUCUGAACUUAGCAACAAAGAGUAAAGCAGUUACAAACCGUCGUGUCAUCCACAUCAGCUGAGCUCUGAAUGUAGAGGAGCAAAUCCUAUGAAACACAUACACAACUAGGUAAUAUCAAACAACCUAAGGCUGAUAAUGUACACACCUGUAUUAAAGUACACUGACUACUUCAUGGUGAGGAUUUAAGGUCAUGUCUUUU